CAGUAGCCGCGGUAAUACGUAGGUCCCGAGCGUUGUCCGGAUUUAUUGGGCGUAAAGCGAGCGCAGGCGGUUAGAUAAGUCUGAAGUUAAAGGCUGUGGCUUAACCAUAGUACGCUUUGGAAACUGUUUAACUUGAGUGCAAGAGGGGAGAGUGGAAUUCCAUGUGUAGCGGUGAAAUGCAUAGAUAUAUGGAGGAACACCGGUGGCGAAAGCGGCUCUCUGGCUUGUAACUGACGCUGAGGCUCGAAAGCGUGGGGCGCAAACAGGAUUAGAUACCCGCGUAGUCCCUGUCUCUUAUACA
rnacentral:rRNA from 1 species